rnacentral:rRNA from 1 species
AAUGAACGCUGGCGGCAGGCCUAACACAUGCAAGUCGAACGGAUCCUUCGGGAUCAGUGGCGGACGGGUGAGUAACGCGUGGGAACAUACCCUUUGGUACGGAAUAGCCUCGGGAAACUGGGAGUAAUACCGUAUGUGGUCGAGAGACGAAAGAUUUAUCGCCAAAGGUUUGGCCCGCGUUGGAUUAGGAAGUUGGUGGGGUAAGGGCCUACCACGCGGACGUCCCAUAGCUGGUUUGAGAGGAUGAUCAGCCACACUGGGACUGAGACACGGCCCAGACUCCUACGGGAGGCAGCAGUGGGGAAUCUUAGACAAUGGGGGAAACCCUGAUCUAGCCAUGCCGCGUGAUCGAUGAAGGCCUUAGGGUUGUAAAGAUCUUUCAGGUGGGAAGAUAAUGACUGUACCACCAGAAGAAGCCCCGGCUAACUCCGUGCCAGCCGCCGCGGUAA